rnacentral:rRNA from 1 species
UAGGGAAUCUUCCGCAAUGGACGCAAGUCUGACGGAGCAACGCCGCGUGAGUGAAGAAGGAUUUCGGUUCGUAAAACUCUGUUGUUAGAGAAGAACAGCGCAUAGAGUAACUGUUAUGCGUGUGACGGUAUCUAACCAGAAAGCCACGGCUAACUACGUGCCAGCAGCCGCGGUAAUACGUAGGUGGCAAGCGUUGUCCGGAUUUAUUGGGCGUAAAGCGAGCGCAGGCGGUCAAUUAAGUCUGAUGUGAAAGCCCCCGGCUCAACCGGGGAGGGUCAUUGGAAACUGGUUGACUUGAGUGCAGAAGAGGAGAGUGGAACUCCAUGUGUAGCGGUGAAAUGCGUAGAUAUAUGGAGGAACACCGGUGGCGAAAGCGGCUCUCUGGUCUGUAACUGACGCUGAGGUUCGAAAGCGUGGGUAGCAAACAGG